AAACCAACCGGGAUUGCCUCAGUAACGGCGAGUGAAGCGGCAACAGCUCAAAUUUGAAAGCCCGCGGGCGUUGUAAUUUGCAGGCGGAUGUUUUGGGGCGGGCGCUGUCUACGUUCCUUGGAACAGGACGCCGCAGAGGGUGAGAGCCCCGUGCGAUGGCGCCUCUAACCGCGUAAAACUCCGCCGACGAGUCGAGUUGUUUGGGAAUGCAGCUCCAAGUGGGUGGUAAAUUCCAUCUAAAGCUAAAUACUGGCGAGAGACCGAUAGCGAACAAGUACAGUGAUGGAAAGAUGAAAAGCACUUUGAAAAGAGAGUGAAACAGCACGUGAAAUUGUUGAAAGGGAAGGGUAUGCGAUUAGCGGCCAGCAGGAGGUGCCUUCUCGUGAAAAGGCCNGUGCACCGUCUUCGGACACCGUGCGCGGAGAUGGCGAGGGGGCGCCUGAGGUCUGCGAACUCGAGGUUGCUGGCGUAAUGAUUGCAUACCAC
rnacentral:rRNA from 1 species